rnacentral:rRNA from 1 species
GAUAAGCGCUGGCGGCGCGCCUAAUACAUGCAAGUCGAGCGAACGGACGAGAAGCUUGCUUCUCUGAUGUUAGCGGCGGACGGGUGAGUAACACGUGGAUGACCUACCUAUAAGACUGGGAUAACUUCGGGAAACCGGAGCUAAUACCGGAUAAUAUUUUGAACCGCAUGGUUCAAAAGUGAAAGACGGUCUUGCUGUCACUUAUAGAUGGAUCCGCGCUGCAUUAGCUAGUUGGUAAGGUAACGGCUUACCAAGGCAACGAUGCAUAGCCGACCUGAGAGGGUGAUCGGCCACACUGGAACUGAGACACGGUCCAGACUCCUACGGGAGGCAGCAGUAGGGAAUCUUCCGCAAUGGGCGAAAGCCUGACGGAGCAACGCCGCGUGAGUGAUGAAGGUCUUCGGAUCGUAAAACUCUGUUAUUAGGGAAGAACAUAUGUGUAAGUAACUGUGCACAUCUUGACGGUACCUAAUCAGAAAGCCACGGCUAACUACGUGCCAGCAGCCGCGGUAAUACGUAGGUGGCAAGCGUUAUCCGGAAUUUAUGGGCGUNAAGCGCGCGUAGGCGGUUUUUUAAGUCUGAUGUGAAAGCCCACGGCUCAACCGUGGAGGGUCAUUGGAAACUGGAAAACUUGAGUGCAGAAGAGGAAAGUGGAAUUCCAUGUGUAGCGGUGAAAUGCGCAGAGAUAUGGAGGAACACCAGUGGCGAAGGCGACUUUCUGGUCUGUAACUGACGCUGAUGUGCGAAAGCGUGGGGAUCAAACAGGAUUAGAUACCCUGGUAGUCCACGCCGUAAACGAUGAGUGCUAAGUGUUAGGGGGUUUCCGCCCCUUAGUGCUGCAGCUAACGCAUUAAGCACUCCGCCUGGGGAGUACGACCGCAAGGUUGAAACUCAAAGGAAUUGACGGGGACCCGCACAAGCGGUGGAGCAUGUGGUUUAAUUCGAAGCAACGCGAAGAACCUUACCAAAUCUUGACAUCCUUUGACAACUCUAGAGAUAGAGCCUUCCCCUUCGGGGGACAAAGUGACAGGUGGUGCAUGGUUGUCGUCAGCUCGUGUCGUGAGAUGUUGGGUUAAGUCCCGCAACGAGCGCAACCCUUAAGCUUAGUUGCCAUCAUUAAGUUGGGCACUCUAAGUUGACUGCCGGUGACAAACCGGAGGAAGGUGGGGAUGACGUCAAAUCAUCAUGCCCCUUAUGAUUUGGGCUACACACGUGCUACAAUGGACAAUACAAAGGGCAGCGAAACCGCGAGGUCAAGCAAAUCCCAUAAAGUUGUUCUCAGUUCGGAUUGUAGUCUGCAACUCGACUACAUGAAGCUGGAAUCGCUAGUAAUCGUAGAUCAGCAUGCUACGGUGAAUACGUUCCCGGGUCU